CAUUAAGGCUGCAGCCCAACUUCUCCCUCUACUCAGUCCUGCUUUCUUCCUUCCGUAGGCAUUGAUCCAGAGAACACACUCAAGUGAAACUUCUGCACUCCAAUCAUCAUCUCAGAGUGCUUCCUGGGAAAUCCAACCUGUGACCCAUUCCUGGUGCCUACUUCCUGGGCUCUACUCUCCCCCACAGCAGCUAGCUGUCACCAAGGAGGCUUAUACAGAGAUAAUCAGCAAGGUUUGGAAGUUGGCUAAUAUAACUGACAUCAGUAACACCAUUCAAAACUAAGAGCCAGUGUCAAGAUCCUGGAUACCCUUCCUGCCUUUACUCCCAAAGUAGCCUUUUCAUAGAUCCAGGUAACACUUCAGCCCUCAAUUGAAGAUUAAAAACAUCUGCUACAGAAAUUGUCAAACAGUCUUGGAACACUUAGUCAAAUUCACAGGGACUCCAUCUGGGACUGGUGAUACUUGUUGCUUUCAUAUCUUUAAUUGUUUCUAGCACCUCCAUAGAUCAAAGUUCUCUGUGUAAUGCGUUCUUUCCAUCAUGCCAUAUUUACCCAUUUUAUAUCAAAAUGUAUAAUCUUUACCAUCUGCUUUCAUAGGGGAAUAUAAAUCUUUAUCAAACUAGAUUAACAUUUUUCAGCUAAGUGUGCCUAUAUUUUCUUAUGUGCAAAUUUCAGAAAAUAAUCUCCUCUUUCAUGGCAUGCUUUAAAUUUAGAAACAGGCUUUCUGGGUUUUUCUAACUGUGAAGUAUUUUUACAUGUUUCUUUGUUCCUGAAUUUCAACAUUCGAAGAAAGUAAUUUUUUAAAAUCUUCUGUACCAGAAUUAAAUAUAUUGCUCUUACAACACA